rnacentral:rRNA from 1 species
UAUGAGUAGCGAUAAAGGGCGUGAAAAGCGCCCUCGCCGAAAGCCCAAGGUUUCCUACGCAACGUUCAUCGGCGUAGGGUGAGACGGCUCCUAAGGCGAGGCAGAAAUGCGUAGUCGAUGGGAAACAGGUCAAUAUUCCUGUACCGAUUCUAGAUGCGAUGUGGGGACGGAGAAGGUUAGGUCAGCCGGGUGUUGGACGUCCCGGUUUAAGCGUGUAGGCGUGCCCCUUAGGCAAAUCCGGGGGGCUGAGCUGAGGCGUGAUGACGAGGAACCACGGUUCCGAAGUGAUUGAUACCAAGCUUCCAGGAAAAGCCACUAAGCUUCAGUCUAGAGUUGACCGUACCGCAAACCGACACAGGUGGGCAGGAUGAAAAUUCUAAGGCGCUUGAGAGAACUCAGGAGAAGGAACUCGGCAAAUUAACACCGUAACUUCGGGAGAAGGUGUGCCCCGGGAGCAUGUAGAGACUUGCUCUCGAAGCGCGAUGGGGUUGCAGUGAAAUGGUGGCUGCGACUGUUUAAUAAAAACACAGCACUCUGCAAACACGAAAGUGGACGUAUAGGGUGUGACGCCUGCCCGGUGCCGGAAGGUUAAGUGAUGGGGUGCGAGCUCUUGAUCGAAGCCCCGGUAAACGGCGGCCGUAACAAUAACGGUCCUAAGGUAGCGAAAUUCCUUGUCGGGUAAGUUCCGACCUGCACGAAUGGCGUAACGAUGGCCACACUGUCUCCUCCUGGGACUCAGCGAAGUUGAAAUGUUUGUGAAGAUGCAAUCUACGCGCGGCUAGACGGAAAGACCCCAUGAACCUUUACUGUAGCUUUGCAUUGGACUUUGAACCGGUUUGUGUAGGAUAGGUGGGAGACUGUGAAGCCGGGACGCUGGUUUCGGUGGAGUCUACCUUGAAAUACCACCCUGAUUUGUUUGAGGUUCUAACCUUGGUCCGUGAAUCCGGAUCGGGGACCGUGCAUGGUAGGCAGUUUGACUGGGGCGGUCUCCUCCCAAAAGGUAACGGAGGAGUACGAAGGUACGCUUAGGGCGGUCGGACAUCGCCCACAAAGUGCAAUGGCAAAAGCGUGCUUGACUGCGAGACCCACAAGUCGAGCAGGUACGAAAGUAGGUCAUAGUGAUCCGGUGGUUCUGUAUGGAAGGGCCAUCGCUCAACGGAUAAAAGGUACUCUGGGGAUAACAGGCUAAUUCCUCCCAAGAGUUCAUAUCGACGGGGGAGUUUGGCACCUCGAUGUCGGCUCAUCACAUCCUGGGGCUGUAGUCGGUCCCAAGGGUAUGGCUGUUCGCCAUUUAAAGUGGUACGCGAGCUGGGUUUAAAACGUCGUGAGACAGUUUGGUCCCUAUCUGCCGUGGGCGCUGGAAAUUUGAAGGGGGCUGCUCCUAGUACGAGAGGACCGGAGUGGACGAACCUCUGGUGUACCGGUUAUGACGCCAGUCGUAUCGCCGGGUAGCUAAGUUCGGAAGAGAUAAACGCUGAAAGCAUCUAAGCGUGAAACUCGCCUUAAGAUAAGAUUUCCCGGAGUCUUGAACUCCCUGAAGGGUCGUCGAAGACCACGACGUUGAUAGGUCAGGUGUGGAAGCGCAGCAAUGCGUUAAGCUAACUGAUACUAAUUGCC